rnacentral:pre_miRNA from 1 species
AUUUUUUACUAUUUGAUUCGUACACUUAGUUUUGUACAACAUUUUUAGUGUACAAAUAAAUAAAUGUACACAGCGUACACUUACAUCUGUACACUAAAAGUGUUGUACAAAUUUAAGUGUACGAAUCAAACUAUGAAAAGU